rnacentral:lncRNA from 1 species
GUGAUAUUCACGGUAAACAAAUGGGAUCAGUUUCUGAGUAUCAUCUGAAGAUUCUCACUGGAGAAUGUUCCUGCAACAGAUCGAGUUGUUUCCAAUUCGGUGUUUUGUCGUCUAUUUCAGGUUGAAGAAUUCGAGCUUCAAAGAUAGAGAUAGCGAGGGGUUCGAGAUAUAUACAGAAAGGGAGGUGGCAUUCGAAAGCUAAACAUAGAGAAAAUAUGAUCAGUAACACUGCGAUAUUUUUUGUCAAUAGAAUUACUGCAAGAACGAUAUACAGCAUGCGAAAGGUAAGUUGUCGCCUUUUUAUAUUUUUAAUUUCGCCUAUUGCUUGUUUUUGAUUUUGUUGACUAAACAGUGUAGUAGGGUCAGUUGGGCACCGCCUGUGAGAAAAACGGCCCCACGACGCAAUUCACUCGGCCAGAAAUUUGGAAGCGACAUGCUGUACUGCUUGGCAUUCGUUGCGGAAGCUUUAGUACGAAGCGCCGGAAGCUCCAAUACAAACAUGUACUGAGAGUGAUAAAAAUCAAACAUCCGCUCAACAUCAGGAUUUUUGGAGUAAUCCCUAGUGAUGAUGAGGUUAUGCCUCCAUUCACCUGCCUACAUGGCCACAGACUCAAUACGGUAGCCUACAUCAAGCGCCUGGAGGAGGUAGUGCUGCCCUUUGUCAAGAGAUUGGCCGCUGGAAGACCGUGUAUCUUACAACAGGACUCUGCACCAUUCCACGCAAGCAGACAAUUUCUGCGACUACGUCACCCCUAACAUCUGGCCACCUAGCUCCCCUGACUGCAACCCGCUUCAUCAUUAUUAUGUGUGGGGCACAGUUGAGCGAGAGACCAAAAAAACUCCUUGUAACACCAAUGAUGAACUGAAGGCAAGGAUUAUGGCAGCAGUCACCAACUUAAACAAGAUUUCCUGCAACUCUUAAACAGAAGAGUUGCAGGAAAUUCCGAAGUCAUUUGGCGGCCGUGGUUGAAGCCAAUCUCGAUUUUAUUGAAUAGAUUUACUCUUUAGUAUUUCAAGAUAUUUUAAUGUAAUUUUGGUAAAUAUAUCUGUUAAAAUGAGAUGUCAGUCUUAUUUUCUUAUUUCGUUUUUUGGAUUUGGUUUUCAAGAUUCUUUAUGUGAGUUCGUGUGUUGAAACAUAUUCUGCCGUGUCUGGGGAGAGUCUUUUUGUGCCUUAUAAUUUAACACACUCACCGGUAAAAUUUCCACUUGUUUCUUAUUUUUAUUUUUCUAAAAUUUUCGUUGCAUCUUGCAACCUUUUCAAUAGUCUUUUUGCGUAAUUUGGGCGAGAGUUUAUUCACCGCAUCCUGUAUAUGACUAGAAUAAUGAGGAGGUGUGGGUAAGAUUUAGGCUUUUAUUUUCCAACGUUUUGGAAUAUACAUGUAUUAGAACAUGUGCUUGUGAAUUCUUUUUCUAUUCAGCCACACACACGCACACACGUGCGCACACGCACCCGCACACACACACGCACACAUACACACACGCACACACAAACACACACAAACACACACACACACACACAUACACACACGCACACGCACGCACACACACGUACAUUCUCUUACAAGAGGAUUUUAACCGACGCUAUCCGGCAGUCAAGUAAUAAGUAAAUUAGGGAAAUCAACGGUUGUUGCCCAUGAAAAUUGGCAGAAAUAUCUAAAAAAAAAAAAGAACAUUAGUAUAUUUUACAGAAUCUCUCUCUAUAUAAACGGCAGUUUGUCUGUGCGUGUUUCUGUGUGUCUGUUUGCUUGUACCCUCACCCUGACCACGGCUUUCAACCGAUUCUGAUGAAACUUGACACACACAUAGCCCAAUGUCAUAAUUCAAAACUAACGCAGCGAAAAUUUUGAAAAGUUCCCCCAGUUCUGAAAAAGUCGAUAAAUUCGACAUGGGGUCGAGAAUCAGGAACACAAACCACAAACUGUGUAGGGGACGCAACUCCACCUUUUUUAACUAUCAAAAAAAAUUUACCAUCAUUUUUUUGCUAUUUUUUGGCUAUAACUCUCUAAAAAUGCUUUAUAGUUAUUUCCCUUACAAACCUGAGCAACGCCGGGCGAUACUGCUAGUCCUUAAUAAAACACAAACGGUUUCGAUGUAUCCAUUUUAUCAAACAUUAGAAAUAUUAGAAGGAAUUUCUUGGGGAGUCAGAAAGAAAAACACUUUUAGGGGUGUUUUAAAGUUUUGUUUGUUCACAUAUUCGCGCGGUUUUAUAUUUUUAAUUUUGCGCACGCAUAUUGUUAUUGUUUGAUAUUGUCGACGUCAACUGUACAUUAUUGUAGGGUCAGUUGGGCACCAUCUGUGAGAAAAACAGCACCAUGUCGCUAUUCACAUCUCCAGAAAUUUGGAAAUGGCAUGCUGUACUGCUUAGCACUGGAGACGGAAGCUCGAAACGAAUAUAUCCGUAAAAAUAUCUGUUAAAAUGAGAGUGUAUUAUUUUUAUUUUUAGUUAAUUCAGACGACAAUAUAUUCGCCGCACCCUGUACAUACAUACAUACAUACAUACAUACAUACAUACAUACAUACAUAUAUAUAUAUAUAUAUAUAUAUAUAUAUAUAUACAUACAUACAUACAUACAUACAUACAUAUAUAUAUAUAUAUAUAUACAUACAUAUAUACAUACAUAUAUACAUACAUAUAUACAUGCACAGCCACACACAAACACGCAUAUAUAUAUAUAUAUAUAUAUAUAUAUAUAUAUAAUAUAUACACAAUGUAACGUUUGAUUGCAUGUGUAUAUGUGUGUAUUAAGUUCUUUCGUAAUUUUAGCAAAAAAAUACAUGCGUUUCCGUAUACACACACACACACACAUACGCACAUACGCACACACGCACACACGCGCAUCCAUUUAUAUUUACAAUAACGUGAUAUAUCCAACGUAUCCUUUUACAUCUAAUUACAGGGGUGAUAUUUACGAUUCAAUGAAUGCGUAUGAAUGUUAAGUAAUAUUGCUGCUUUUCAACAGACUAAUGAUCAUGCGUUUCCUCUCUUCUUCUUUCAAUGCCAAUUUUUUUUUAAACAAACAUUUUGUCUUUCUUUGGAAUUUGACGGUAAAUUACUCAUAACAUGCGCAACAUUGAAAGCUAACAUAUCCGGCAAAUGUUCCUACGUAAUUAUUUCCUCGGUAAGUAAAGCAAUAAUUGGCGUUCUGCGGUUGCAGUAACAACAGAAGCGUCUGUUGGAAUAACUGCUUCUAAAAAACUAGCUAGUAGAUCGGGAAGAGGGUCUCUUCUAAGCAGAAGCAUUGCAUUCCUCUGUAUAAAUAUUAAAUGACUUAUAUAUUGCCGCUACACAAUAAAUGCAACAAAAUAUAAACCUAACCGGUUUCACUUACGCUAAUAAAAGUGAUCUCAACACUCACACACGCUUAUUACACAGGUGGAUCGUUAGAAUUGAUAGUAGUAUAUAUAUAUAUAUAUAUAUAUAUAUAUAUAUAUAUAUAUCUCACGUCACGUGAUCACAUGACCGACCGACCAGACCAUCAGAUGUUGUUACACAUCGCUGGUCACAAUGUUUUAGCCUUCGAAUGACGCCACCCCGCUGGCUAAGCGAGCUGGCCAACAGAAGAAAGAGUGAGAGAAAGAGUGGUGAAAGAGUACAGCAGGGAUCAUCACCCCCUGCCGGAGCCUCGUGGAGCUUUUAGGUGUUUUCGCUCAAUAAACACUCACAACGCCCGGUCUGGAAAUCGAAACCGCGAUCCUGCGACCGCGAGUCCGCUGCCCUAACCACUAGGCCAUUGCGCCUGCAUAUAUAUGCAUAUAUAUAUAUAUAUAUAUAUAUAUAUAUAUAUAUAUAUAUAUAUAUAUAUAUAUAUAUAUAUAUAUAUAUAUAUAUAUAUAUAUAUAUAUAUAUAUAUAUAUAUAUAUAUAUAUAUAUAUAUAUAUAUAUAUAUAUAUAUAUAUAUAUAUAAUAUAUAUAUAUAUAUAUAUAUUUGCGCGCUGCGCCUGCUAUUUGCAAUAAUAUAUAUAGGCCAUUGCGCCUGCAUAUAUAUGGCAUUGCGCAUUAUAUAUAUAUAUAUAUAUAUAUAUAUAUAUAUAUAUAUAUAUAUAUCUUUAUCUUCUUUUCUUUUAUCUUUUACUUGUUUCAGUCAUUUGACUGCGGCCAUGCUGGAGCACCGCCUUUAGUCGAGCAAAUCGACCCCGGGACUUAUUCUUUGUAAGCCCAGUACUUAUUCUAUCGGUCUCUUUUGCCGAACCGCAAAUAUAUAUAUAUAUAUAUAUAUAUAUAUAUAUUGAUACGACUCUUGAUCUGUCUGUUUCUUUCUCUCUCUCUCCUCCCUUAUUCCCCUUCGUUUCUUUCCCUCUCCAUCCGCCCCCCCCACCCUUCUACGUUUCUCUAUCUCUCUCACCGCCAGUCCCCUCGCUAUGUCUCUUUCUUCUCCUCCCUCGUCCACCUUCUCUCUCUCUUCAUCUGUCCCUUUCUCCUGUCUUUUGUUCUCACGUGACCGCUAGCCACUGCUGGGCGCCCUUUUCGUUCCAGCAGUCGUCGAAGCAACACGUAUUUGUUCGUCUCCCUGCGGCCAUUAGGCACUACUUCAUAAGCCAGCCCCAACUCAACUCGUCCUGUCGAAAGACCCUUGUCCUACGUCCUGGUUUUGUUUUGUUUUUUAUCUUUACCGUUAUUGUUUUUACGUUUUUGUAUUCUUAUUGGUGUCACGUAUUCUGUAUUUUUGUUCGUGUACUUCGUUCGUUUUACGUCCUCGUGUUGUAUACAUUCGAAGCUUUCUUCCAAGGGAUCUAAUGCGCUUGGCUUAGAUUUUCCUUUGGGGGCUGCCCAGAUCGGAGCAAUCUCAAGAUUAAUCAGCCGAAAUUGCGAAGAUGAUCUGGUUCUUGACUGAUGACUGAGGGCUUCGAAUGUCCCGUCCUGUGGUUCUUGUGUCGUCUCUUUGGUGUUUCAUGUUCUUGUCCAUGUCUGUAUUUAUUUUUUACUGUUUACAUAUAUAUAUAUAUAUAUAUAUAUAUAUAUAUCUACCAUCAUCACCAUCAUCGUUUAACGUCCGGUUUCCAUGCUAGCAUGGGUUGGGUGGUUUGACUGAGGGCUGGCGAACCAGAUGGCUGCACCAGGCUCCAGUCUUGAUAUGGCAGAGUUUCUACAGCUGGAUGCCCUUCCUAACGCCAACCACUCCGAGAGUGUAGUGGGUGCUUUUAUAUAAAUAAUCUUUUAUUCUUCUUUGUGCUUCAGCCCACGGGCUAUGACCAUGCUGGAGCAUUGCUAGUGUUAUCACCUUUUCAAUGGUCAUUCGUAUGUGAUUUGCCUUCGGUGAAGGAGGGCUUUCUAUAUUGCAGCGCUCUUUUUAUUUUCUUGCCGUGACAUUGGACAGCAGGAGGUCAAGUUGUUUCUUGAAACCAUCUACACUCAGCCCAUGCAGAUCUCUCUUAUAUGCUUUGGCAACGUGUUAAAUGGCCGCGGGCCCAUUAAUUGCAAAGUAUUGCAGUACAUGGUCUUAGCACUUGAUGAGAUGGCUAGAACAUUUGGAACAGCGCAGUGACGCCCUCUUCGAGAACUGGUAGAGCUCUCGAUACCAAAGUUUGGUACCAACUUCUCCAGGAUCUUCCACACGUAUAUCACUGCAUAUCUCUCUCAUCUUCUCUCCAGGCAGUAGAGUUGUAGUUCUUUCAGUCUCUCCCAGUAGCUCAGCUGACCCAUUGAUGCAAUCUUCCUGAUGUAAUAACUGUCUCAAAAUCCGCAUUCGUAUACACAUACAUCACAUUACACCAUACUUCGAAGACUGCAUUUUUAAUCGAAGAACAGGAGAUUGCUACUAAAUAACGAAAAUGUAGAUUACGUCAUAUUUCUGUGGAAGAGAGCGCUCGUGAUUAUCCACUGUUUAAAAAUGUCACCAAGAUACUUCCUCGCUAUAUCAAAUGAUGUUGUCGAUAGACAAUAUACAAUGCCAUUCAGAAGAAAAAAAAAUGUCCUGGAAUAAAUAUACAGAAUUGCCCUUUUACUGAAUGCAUUCACAAACAUACACACAAGGAACAUUCCCAUUAAAAUAUCGGUCAAGUGUAAACAUAACAGGCCAAAAGUGUAACUAUGGACAGCUGUUUCGAAUCCUCCAGCUUCUGUAUACAGGGUACAAUUUUAUAUUUUUACCAAUAACAAAUGGUGCACUUUGUCUUGUGAGUAAUUAACUAAGUGACCAUCUGGAUAGGCUACGGUUUUCAGAAAAAGAAAUCAACCAUCUUACUCGCUCGUUAUUAAUACAGUCUGUGAGUAGAGCAGUGAAGUUAUUAAAAUGUGACAUGGUUUUUGUUAUCCAUAUUCCACCGAUGGAUCUUUGUAUCUUUGACAUGGUUUUAUGCAGGAUGUGCUUAGCAUUUUCUCUACAAAAUCGUCUUCCCAUUUUGUCUGCGUAAGAACGUAUAUCAGAGUUUCAUUCACGAUGCAUAUUGGAAGGAUAUUGUCCCGUUUAAUCACACUACCUUAUCGAAAAUAGAUGUAGUUUGUUUUCGGUGGCACUGAACACAAAUAAAGAAGCGUCAAUUUUUGUGGAAAUGUUUUGCUUAUUCGCGGUCAAAGCAGUUAACUUUCUAAAGCCGAUUUCCUGUACGAUAAUUAGUUUUUGAAUAUUUGCGUGUUAUGAACUGAAAUGUUGUAGAAUUAGUUAGGCAUAUAAUUGCCCUAACUUUAAAAUUUUAAUUACUAUUUUUUAUCAUAUUUCUGCAGUGAUUCUUUUAGAAGAAACAGCUGAUCAGUAAAACACAAGUGAUGCAAUGGUAGACGUUUAGAGAGAAAUAUAGACAUGUGUGGAUAUAAUACUAAUAUUAUGUAUUAAUUUUAUACAAUCCUAAGAUAAUUUAAAAACAUAGAAUACAGUACCGCAAUAUUUAAUUCCACUUCCGUUUGCAACGUAUUGAAAUUCCGGCGGAAGCAGUAUUGUAUGGUUUCAUGGUAAACACACCGUUGCUCAUGCUUGUAUACUGCCCCGGGUGGAACGUUAGGGAUUGUUUUUGUGUAAAAAUAUUCUAAUGUAUUGAGGGCUUUUCUACGCUGCCAUUAGAAUAUUCAUCCUUCAAAUCGUCAAGCAUUUGUCAUUUUUCUGUUCCAAGUUUUGUCUGAUAUAUUAAGGUUUCUUUACAUCCCGUCAAAAUAUAUUUUAGAGAAGGAUUAACGCCAUUUUCCUUUCUCAUUAUAUUACUUACUUUGUAUGAAACUAUUACAACGAAUCGAAAUCUCUUGGCACGCCCUUAUAACUGACUUUGCGCUGAUUGUCACAUUAACUUCUAAAACGAACUUUUAUAUAUCAGAAUAUGAAAUAUCAUUUGUACUAUAAGCACAAGGCCUGAAAUUAUGGGGAGGGGCUAGUCAAUUACAUCGGCCCCAGUGCUCGAGUGGUAAUUGAUUAAUCGACCCCUAUAGGAUGAAAAGCAAAAUCAACUGCGGUGGCGGAAUUUGAACUCAAACUGUGAAGACUGACAAAAUAGCCGCUCACUACUUUGUCCGGUGCGCUAAUGAUUCUGCCAAGCCGCCGCCUUACCUAAAUCUGAAAUAUGGCAUUAUGAUGAUGAUGAUGAUGAUGAUGAUGACAAUGAUAUUAAUGAUAAUGAUGACUAUUAAUUUUGAGGUUAAUUUAAGUAUCAUCAUGCAAAUUAUCAUUAUUGCAUCGUUAUAAUUAUGGUCUUCAUCGUCAUCAUAAACAGUUAUUGCUAUCAAUUUCUUCAUCAUUUCAGAAUUACAAAGAACACAAUCAUAAUCUGCUGCAUCAGUACAGUUAAAAAUAUCAUCAUUUUACAUGUCUUCCUCCCCUCCACAUCCUUAUCACUAGCAUCCUUGUCAUCAUCAUCAUCAUCAUCGCCGACAUGAUUGGCGUACACCAUGGCUCUCAUCAUUAUUCUUAAACCAUUCUGCAAAAUAAACUUUCAGUUAAUUUGACCAAAAUAUACAAAACUAAAAAACGUAACAUUCAUCUGUAAUCUCAACCCCCACAUGUUAUUCGUAGUCGUUUUCUCAUCUAAUGACCUGAAAUCGCCAAUAGAGGGGCCUGUCAGAAGAAGUGUAUCUUGUCCAAUUUAACUUGAAGCAAUUCCAAUUAGAAUAGAUUUGAAAAAAGGUAUCACAUUGAGGAAUACGAUCAUCAGCGCCUACAUCCUUGUCUGUUUGUGUGUAAGAGACAAACGUCCUUCAAUAUAAACACUCCAGUUCUGAAUCGGUACUAUUAAUGCUGAUUUUAUUUACACAUAGGCUGUUUACGAUUUUAGUUGAAUAGCUUAUGAAACAAUAUAUUUGAGUCAUGCGAAAGCUGAAAUCAUUCACCUUUCCGUUCAGAUUAAUCAAUUAGACCAAUAAAAAAAACGUGAAAUGUGAGAACAUCAUAUCUAUUUGCCCUUUAUUCAAUCAAAUACGAGGUUAAUCUUCCACUGGCGAUGUUAUUGCGUAUUAGAAUAACUAAGUAAUUGUGACUAUUUGAAAUAUCCCGUAAGUAUAUGGAAUCGCAUUAUCUGAACUCAUAUAUCGUUUUUCCAUUCUGAAUCUGAAGGAAAUCUGCAAAGCCUCAACAACGGGUGAGCUUGGUGUCGCUAAUGUUCAUUUAAACUAACGCUCGUCAACAGCUGCAAGAGGUGAACAGAGAGAACACUCUAGAGGAUUGAUGUUCUGGGGAGGAACAUUAUGGAAAAACGAGACGGCCGACGAUGUUUAAGAAUAUGUGCAAGAUUAACAAGCGUACAGAGGCCAUAAGAAUAGAGAGAGAAAAAAAAACAGAGAAAGCAAAAAUCGUGCGUAUAGAUGAGGUCGGAGGUGUCUGCUGGUGAUAUAAUGUCAAACAACCGAGUGACCCUUCUCUUGAUACACUUCCGAUGACAGUUCUCGUAGCAGCAGAAGCAGCAGCAGUAGCAGCAGCAGUAGCAGCAGCAGCAGAGUCUUAAAUGUGGAAGCAGUACACUAUUGUGGGCCGUACCAGGGGUCUUCUGGAUUAUUAGCAUUUGUUGAGAUCUCAAAUCAUUUUCGGCCUUGAAGAGAAAGCCUAGUCUUUGGGUUGCAAAUUUAGCUUUGCUGAAUAUGUACAUUCACUGAGAGAAACUUUCUGCGAUAAUCCUUUGUGGCUCUGAGAGUCACUCACUCGUAAAGGGGUUUGGGUCUGUCCGAGGCUAUAGUAGAAUUCAGUUGCCGAAAGUGCCACUCAGUGGCGCUGAACCUGGAACCAUGUGAUUGGAAAUCAGAUUUUUAUACCACGCAGUCACGUCUUUCAAAGUAUAAUCACCAAAAGUACAGUGUUUACUCGGAAGAUGGAUGACAUCGCAGUUGCUCUUAUAUCUAUUAUAUCUAAAAGACACCCGAGUUUAGGCCUACUGAAUACAUAAGAAUCUAUCUUAUAAUUUGAUACGAUUCGAAAACGCGCAGCAUUAUUCAGAGGUGAAGAGAAAAUCAUGAUGAGCGCCCGGUAUUUCCAACGCUAUUAGCCUUGUGUCUUUGCUUACUUUGAUCAUCCACCUGACCUAAAAAUAUAUGAUGCUAUAUCUGCUGUCUCAUAGAACUAAUAAAUUAUUGAUUCAACCCAUCAGAUAAUGUCCAAUAGUCUUUCUGGAGAGGUGAAUGACAUUUUGUGACGUCCACUUAUCACCACGCACAUAUAAAUCUAAAACAAUAUCGAGUGUAUAAUGAAUUUCAAACAGAGUAGAAAACAAAGAAGAUAAAGAUGUGUUGUUAUGGAUUUGGCGACUGCUUCGUAAAUAUUAGAAGUUUACAGAUGUUUUCGGUUUCGAUUUAUACCGAAUUGAUUCUAUUCUCCGUGUUGCAUGUCCUUCUAGAUCCGAUAUCGGGAUAUUUAGCAAAAAUAUUCUGGAUAAAUACAUUUCUUCAUUUACGAAAAUAUUCAAACUUAAUUUAUGGUCUAACUCAUUAAAUUUAUCCAUUUCGAUAUCUACCUAUUAUUUCCCCAACAAUCUCAUCAUCCUUAAUAAAGCCCUAUGGUUCGCAGAUAACAAAGCCGGCCUAACCCGCAAUGAAAUUAAUGUUGUCCUAGUGGCAAGAAAAUUUAUCAUCCAGUUUGAUAACAACCUUUGGAUUCGUGAAGAUGAACCCGAUUGCUUCAAUAUCCCUAUGAGAAGUAGCGAUUGGUCUCAAGUUUCGGAUUUGGUCGGAAUUAAUAUUCUAUCUGAACUAGUAGACCAAUUUCCUUAUAUAGGCGGUGGUUUGUAUCGCGAUGACUGCCUCCUUUACCUAGAAAAUACCUCUAAUCAAAAAAUACAAAAAGUUAAACGAAAUUUAGUCAAAUUGUUUAGUAAUAUGGGCCUAAGUAUUUCCUUUGAUGAUGAAAGAACUAAGGUUAACUUCCUCGAUCUUACUCUAAACUUAAAUACGGCCUUGUAUUUCCCAUACCAUAAACCUUCAACUAACCUGAAAUACAUCAGUACCUUUAGUAACCAGCAUAACAAUAUAACAACAAAUUUGAUUAAAAACAUAUCCCUCAGAAUAUCUAAAUUAUCCGCCAACGAAACCGUUUUCAAUAGUAACACUGAUUUUUUAUAACUAAGCUUUAUAUAAAGCAGGAUAUAAGGAACAAAAUUAAAUAUUUUAACCAACUUGGCCAUAACUAUACUAAUAACAAUAACAGUAGUAAUAACGAUAUUAACAGUAAUAGACACAAUAACAAGAAGAGUACUUACGUUGUUCCUCCCAUAUUCGAUAAUCCAAAUAAUUCCCAAUUUCAUCAAAAUAUCCAUAUUCCUUACCUUCGUAAUCCUAAAAAUAAGCAAUCAAAGAGAAGUAACUAUGCUUCUAUAUCCUUUUAAGCUACUUUAAAAAUAACCCUAAGUUUUUUAAUCAUAAAUCUGGCGGAGAAAAACGCAACCCUAAUAAAAAAUAUCUGGUUAAUUAUUCUCUACGGAAAACAAGUAAAAAGUAACCUUCCCCUCUUAUUUCGAUAAGUUAUACAAAGGAACUCCUCCAUUAAUUCAAGGUACUCAAUUUUCGGCAUAUAUCGUAUCAGAAUAGGUUUCUCUAACACCAACAAUAUCUCACAAAUUAUAUUAUCACGUAACGGCCGUAAUCUAAAAGGUAACAAUGUCUCUCCUAAUAACUCUAAUAACUUUAAUAACGUUACAAUAAUAUUAACGAUAAUCUCUCCUUAAAUAAUAAUAUCAAUGAAACUAGGCCUUGCAACUGUGGCCCUAAUAAAACGUGUGUCCUAAAUGGAAACUGCCGUAUUAAAAUACUGUGUACCAAUGCAAAAUUAUACAUACAUAUAUGCACAAAAAUCCGGUUCAAAGUUUUCAUGGUUUAAAACGUUGCUUACUUUUUACUCAACCUGAUAAUGAUUUUUACAUAUUUUUCUGUAUUGUAGCAAGUUUGACUUACAGCUGUUUCCAGUAGUCUUUAUGGGUUCAUCGUUGAUAGGUUUAAUCAAUCGCGCCAUUGAUCGGUUGAGAAAAACUGAGCAACCUCGAAAGCUAAUCCUACUCUCGUCAGGGUAAUGUAUGGUUAUGACGAAGUAGAACAGUGAAGGAAUGGCCCAUGCAUGGGAAAGGGAGCGAAGGGAGGUCAUAAAAAUAAGAAUAAGAUAAGAAGCGGAGAAGAGAUGAUUUACAAGAGAAGAACUAUAGGGAAAAGAAGGAAAGAAAGGAAGGAAUGAAGGAGCAAAAGGAAUAGACGUAGGGCGGCAUUCAAUUGAAAAGGGAACAGAAAACGACUGAAAUUGAGGAAGGGACAAUUUUUUAUGUUUAUAAUUGGGUCAACGCACACGGAAACAUUUGCUCUGUCUGUAGGUCGAAUAUUAUCCUGGUAUAUAUAUAUAUAUAUAUACUUAUUAAUCCGAGGGGGGCAAUGUGAGCAGCACUUAUUCACAUUCUGCAGAUAUUCUGCAGUCAAUGGCAAUGUUUAAUUCUUCUUAGGACUACGUAAAAUGUUUUCAAUAAAAUGAUGGUGUGGUAGGUGCUCUAUAACACUACUCCUUGUGCAUGGCUGGUGAAGGUUUAUGAAAUGCCCUGUUCUUUUCUUCAGCAUCGAGAGGAACACUAAUUGACUAGCGAGAGCCGCAUAUCUACUUUGACUGCACAUUUUUAGGAGUAAUUUUUGGAAAAACGUCAAUGAGAUAUAUGUGCCUAUGCUCAAUCGCAAAGCGUACUUCGUUACCUGCCGUUUCCUUUGAUACGUUGAUUUCUAGCAUUUCAAUAAUUCAACUGUCUUCAAAUGUUACUUUCUUGGUAAAUUAGAUUAAAUCAAUGGCUGGUGCGCUCUAUGCUUGAUAUCUCAAGCUCCAAUGUUUGCGAGUUCGAUUCGUCGCAUCACUCAUAGUGUUUGUAUAUUCUGAUCGCAAGAUAUUCUCAGCAUUACCAUAGAAUCUUUGUUUAACGUCUGACUUUGCAUCAUCAACUGAAUAAUGUGCCUAAGCUUCACAGAAAGAUGUAAGUAUUGCUGGGAGUCAGAAUCUAUUUAUUUUCGGCUAUUUUUUUAAAAUUUCAUCUUAUUUGUUUAAAUCUUUUAACCCUGUAAUCUUUUCCUAACAACAGGUUUUGGCUUUACUCCUACUAGACAAUUAUCCCGGCCAACAUCUAAUCCCAUGAAACUAUUUAACAGCAGAAUGACAACAAAUAUAAUAUUUUCCUAUUGCAUCAAAGUCAAUAAAUUGAUUCACUUUGGACUGAAGGUGUGUUCAGGUAAAUUCUCACUUGAGCUUCUGGUCAAACUGGAAUUCCCAUCACAGAACUGAACUUUGAACAUAACUGCAUCAUGUGUGGGCUGCUGUUAUUAAUUUAACUCAUGUCUAAGACUCCCAAAUUAGACAAUGUAUUCAAGUAGCAACCUACUAUGACAUUACUGUCACCACAUUGCAGGAAUUUGUUACCAUCCUCUCGAAACAUUCACACUGUCUUUGCUUGAAUGCGAUCAAUUAUUUCACAAAACAUGGAAGUGGAGAUCAUUUGAUCAUUUAAUCAAAUUUAUAUUUUCUGCCAUUUAAUAUACCCGCGCUUGCAUCUUUGGUUAGUUACAUGUAUUUAGCACUUGAGCUUUUUUCCCUUAAAUCAUUUGGCAUUUAUUUAUGCGAAUCACCGGAUCCACAACUGUACUUUAUUAUUGUUUUCUAAAUGUACAAGUGUACAGGCGUACAGGCUACUGAAGAUGAAGUAGGACAAUUGCUGAUGACAUCUAAUGAGGCAGAAACAUGAGUACAUCGAUGACAUUUGUCUCCAUACAGUCACUACCGAUAUCUUCUCUAUGUCAUGUUAGUUUUGGAAAAACCUUGAUUCUUGAGAUUAUCUCUCAUUCCCACUUCCAGGAGAUUAUAACUUCAAUGAAAGUACAGAUAAUUACAAAAAGUCAUAAUAAUAAUAAUAAUAAUAAUAAUAAUAAUAAUGAUAAUAAUAAUAAUGAUAAUAAUGAUAAUAAUAAUAAUAAUAAUAAUAAUAAUAAUAAUAAUAAUAAUAAUAAUAAUAAUAUAAGACACAAAGGAAAUGAAGAAUCAGAUGAACAGUAUAGCCCGCCACGAGGCUUAAUUGAAAGACUGCCAUCUGACCAAAGUACGCAAAGGCCUGAAGAUACAAGAAAUUCUAUUGUACCUGUUAAAGAUAGCCAGGAAAACGAAAAAACAACAGUAGCUGGAUAUCUCGCAUUUGCUGAAGAACACAGAGAGUCUAUGGCAGAAAUGAGGCAGAAAAUCCUGAAUACGCUUGAAGUUGUAAGACAUACAAGUAUGAAUGAUAGAGAACCACUUCAUAAACUCUCAAAUACAAACCAAAAUAAAAAACAAAUCCAAAUUGGCAACUAUGUAAGAAAUGAAAUAAUACGAGAAUUAAAACCUGAUUUUACUGAGUUAAAUGAAAUUAUUUACGCUUCUGCUAGGGCAAUUGAAACCAGCUGUAUGCCCCCGAAAAAACAAAGAAAACAAAACCUGGGAAGAAAUCAAACCUGGAGAAGUAAAAUUGAAAAAGAGAUUGAAUUUAUGAGAGGGGAAAUAUCAAUAUUAAAUGAACUAAUAUGUGGAAAUGAUGUAAGAUCCAGAACAGGAAGAAAGAUGAAGAGAAAAUUUGGAUCCUCACCAAGAGAAGAACUGAUAUCAAUAAAAGAAACGCUGAAACAAAAAGUCCAAGCAAAAGCCCAAACAAUACGAAGAUUUGAGAAGAGAAACAAGUUUUACAAGCAAAAUAAGCUGUUCACAUCCAAUGCCAAAAAAUUCUACAGAGAAAUAGGGAAGGAGAAAGUAACCGUUAAAGACCCCCCUCCCAUGGAAGAAGUUCAAAACUUUUGGAAAAGUAUUUGGAGUGACAAGAAGACGUACAACAUAAACGCAGACUGGAUUAUACAAACUGAAGGAUCCUACCAAAAUUUACAACAACAAGCAUGGGAAGACAUCACAAUAGCAGACCUAAGAAAGGCACUCACGAAGGCCCAUAAUUGGAAAUCCCCCGGUAAAGAUAGGGUGCCGAAUUUCUGGCUCGCAUCGCUCCCAUGCGCACACGGUAAGCUAGUUCAGCUGCUCAAUGGAAUUAUGAGAGACCCAAAGAAAACACCUGAAUGGUUAGCAAGUGGCAGUACUUACCUACUCCCAAAGAAUAACGAAACCAACCUUCCAAAAAACUAUCGGCCUAUAACCUGUCUAUCCACCACGUAUAAAAUCCUAACAUCUAUCCUGGCGGAGAAAACAUAUGCAUUCAUGGAGAAGAACGAUAUUUUCCCCAUUGAACAAAAAGGGUGCCGCCGAGGCUCUUACGGAUGCAAAGAUCAACUGCUAAUCAAUCGUAUGAUCCUUGAGAACUGUCACAACAAGCGCAGAAAUCUCAGCACCGCAUGGAUUGACUAUAAAAAGGCCUUCGACAGUAUACCACAUCCAUGGAUCUUGAGAUCGCUGGACAUUUUCAAAAUUUCCCCUGUGAUUUCAAACUUCCUGAAGCACAAUAUGUCGUUGUGGAAUACGAAUCUCCAAUUAUACCACUCUAAUGGAGUACUUGCCUCAGAAAAUAUAAACAUCAACUGUGGAAUUUUUCAAGGUGACUCACUUUCACCUUUAAUAUUCUGCAUAGCCCUAAUACCCCUUACAAGUGAAUUAAACAGAACAGGGUAUGGGUAUAAAAUUGCCAAUAAAAAAGUAAGCCAUCUAUUUUAUAUGGAUGACUUAAAACUUUAUGGUAAAGACAAUAAUGAACUUGAAGGCCUAUUGCGCACCGUGAAAGCAUUCAGCGAUAACAUCGGGAUGGAGUUUGGACUUGAGAAGUGUGCCAAGGCCACUUUCCAGAAAGGGAAAGUGAAGACCACAAAUUCAGUCGUGUUAGAUGUUGACACAGUCAUAAGAGAGCUUGAGCAAGAACAAACAUACAAAUAUUUAGGGAUAAAUGAAGGCUCUGGUAUUCAGCAUGCAAGCAUGAAAGAGAAGAUCAGGAAGGAAUGUUAUAGGAGAGUUCGUGCAGCCCUGAAAUCUGAACUAAAUGCACGUAACAAGGUGUUAGCUAUAAAUUCCUUAGAAGUUCCAGUUGUUACUUAUAGCUACAAUGUGUUGAAAUAAAGAAUAUAGAUAGGAAAAUGUGUUGAAAUAAAGAAUAUAGAUAGGAAAAUACGCAAGCUGCUGAGUUGUAAUAGGAUGCACCACCCAAAGGCAGACGUAGAUCGCCUUUACCUUCCCAGAGCCCAAGGAGGUCGAGGCCUGAUCCAAUUUGAACUAGCUUACAAAACAACCACAAUUGGACUGGCCAAAUAUCUCGAAAUAUCGAAUGACUGGAUGCUAAAGCUCGUGGAAAAUCACGAGAGACGAAAGAAGCUUCAUUCUAUCAUAAAGGAAAGCAAAAAAUUUGCUAUUGAUCUCGUGCAGGAUACCCAAACUGAACAACCCGAGGGAAGUACGGCAACUAUUGUUGCAAAGAAGGUGAAAAUGAUGGCAAUGAAAAAAGCGCACGAGCAAUUGGCUGAUAGGUGGGAGGAGAAACCUCUGCACGGCAAAUAUGUGACCCGCAGCAAACAAGCUGAUGUUGACCAGAAGCAAACCCAUCAGUGGCUACGGAGCUCAGGGCUAAAAGCAGAGAGCGAAGGUUUCAUCCUGGCUGCUCAAGAUCAAAGCCUAUUAACCCGGAACUACCAGGCCAAUGUGAUGAAAAAUGGAGCAGACCCAAAAUGCCGAUUCUGCAACGACAUGAUUGAAACAGUGGACCACCUAAUCUCUGGAUGUAAAGUCUUAGCACCAGUGGAGUAUAAAUUAAGACAUGACAGAGUUGGCCAAUAUCUCCACUGGCUAAUAAGUCGGCAUUACAAUAUCAAAACUGCCGACAAGUGGUAUAAUCACCACCCUGAGGCUGUAACUGAAGGAGAAAAUGUAACCAUUCUGUGGGACUUUCCAGUACAUACAGACCGAACCAUCAAGGCCAAUAAACCAGAUAUUGUUGUGAAAGACCAAAACAAUAAAGUUUGCUUAUUGAUCGACAUGAGCAUCCCCUGUGAUCAUAAUAUCUCAGCGAAAGAGUUUGACAAGCUCAGAAAAUAUAAAGACCUACUCAUUGAAAUUGAGAAAAUGUGGCAUCUCAAGGCGGUUAAAAUACCAGUGAUUGUAGGAGCACUAGGAAUGAUCAAGAAGGGAACCGAAAAUUAUAUGAGAAUGAUCCCUGGCUUACCAUCCCUGCAAGAAGUGCAAAAAAUUGUCUUAACUGGUACAUCACACGUAUUGAGAAGAGCAUUGUCGAUGUGAGAACUGUUGCUGCUCAUGUAUUUUAAUUUAACUUUAUUUCUAUCAAAUUUAACUUUAUUUCUAUCUAUUGAGUUUAGUUUAAUGGCCUACCAAUAUAUACUAUGAGUUUCUUUGCCCUAGGAGUCGGGAAGACACUCGGCAAGAAAUGGAAUCAAAUUUGAAAGAAGAAAAAAAAAAGUAAUGAUGAUAAUAAUAAUAAUGAUAAUAAUAAUAAUAAUAAUGAUAAUAAUAAUAAUAAUGAUAAUAAUAAUAAAAAUAAUAAUAAUAAUAAUAAUAAUAAUAAUAAUAAUAAUAAUAAUAAUAAUAAUAAUAAUAAUAAUAAUAAUAAUAAUAAUAAUAAGACACCGGGGACGUUUAAGAUGUAAGAAGGAAAAUACAGAGCUCCGAAAUCUAUCCACAAACAUCGAAAACAAGGACACCCUAUGGAGCCAAAGAUUUACUAACAAAGAAUUGGACUAUAUCCGAGUAAGUAAUACGAAUUGAAAUUUAUUACUAUUUUCGAAACGAAAUGAUGUAUUUUGACUCGAUAUUAUCUCCACCUCUAACACAACACAUGUAAACAUGCGUGGAACAACACGAUCAUCCCCGACCUCAAACACCAUGUACAAAGGAACUACGAAGAAAUUAAAUGCCACCGAUACUAUUCAACCCAAGAAUAACAAUCGAGCGGUACGUACAUUAAACCUUCAACAAAAAAUGUACGAAAAACUACACGUGCGAAAUAAUGUGACAACAGAAAUAAACGGACCGGUACCCUACGAAAAUGACGACCGUCAAAAUAAUGGGCCGGACGUUGUACCUCAUGUCCCGCAAUUAAAACCCAAAAGACGUAAAUGGACACGUGAGGAAUACAUUUCUAUCUUACACGCAUACUUCACAGCAAUGCUCUACCCACAAAAUGAAAAUACAACAACACAUACAUAUAAAAUAUGGAAGGAAAAUAAUAGAGAUAUAGACUUGGAUACAGCAAUGAACCCUAAUAAAUUAGCUAACGUACGAAGAUACAUUCUCAAAGCCAAAAAAAUAUCAGAAAUAGAAAUAGAACAUUUAAAAGAAAAAAUACACCAGGAAAAUGUAGAUAGAAGCCACACAACAAUGCCCAAUAAUAUAAACACUGAAACUGUAAAACACGAAGACAAACGCAACAUUCCCAACAAACACGAUGUAAACAACGAAGGGGAGCCUAAUGAUUAUGAUAAUAUAAAAAAUAAAAUAAUCAAAGAACUAAAAACCACAGAGCUAAAAUAGACCACCGACCAUACCUCCCAAGAAUAAAAAUAAACGCAAUAACAACACCAAUUAUAAACAACAUAAACCUAGCCGUCACUGAACUAGCCACUGAAACAAAAAAAAGUGAUAUCACUGAACUAAAUGACCUGAUAUACGCAGCAGCCACUGCAGCCACAAAAGAAGCUGGAUACUCACCCAAACCCGCCCAAACAGGAGUACCACCACCCAAACAAACCCUGUGGAUAAAUAACAUCCAAAACAAAAUAAAAAAAAAUAGAAAAGACCUGUCGAUUCUUAAUGAAAUCAGCAAACAAGCAACGCUACUGAGCAACAAAAAGAGAACAAAAAUGCUCCGCAAAUAUAACAUCACAGAAAAAGAUUUGCCGGAGAUAAAAGAAAAGCUGAAGCAAGAUAUCCUUGCCAAAGCUCAAAGGAUCCGCCGGUACGAGAAACGCCAACGCUUCUUUGAACAGAACAAAAAGUUCAACUCCGACCCCAAAAAGUUCUACCAAGAAUUGGGCAAAAAUAAAGUAGAAGUCACUGCAGCACCAACGGCAGAAGAAUCGGAAGAAUUCUGGAAAGAAAUAUGGUCGGCGAACGAACAGCCAAAAAAAGGAGUAUGAAAAUAACAAACUCGGCAUCUGAACAACUUUGGACCCCCAUAACAACUGAAGAGGUCACCCAGGCACUGCAAAAACUAAGCAACUGGAAGGCACCUGGGCAUGACAAGAUCCCCAACUUCUGGUUGAAAUAUCUAACAGGAAUGCACAAAAAGCUGGCUGAAAACUUUAACAGCAUACUAGCAGAGCCAGAGACAAUGCCUGAAUGGCUCACGAAGGGGAAAACCAUCUUAAUUCCCAAAUCAAAUGAAACAGAAAAACCAGAAAACUACAGACCAAUAACCUGCCUCCCUACUAUGUUCAAGGCAUUUACUGCAGUGAUAUCACAAAGGCUGAACACGCACCUGGACGAAAACAAACUGUUCCCAGAAGAGCAGAAAGGAUGCCGCAAGGGCUCAUAUGGCUGUAAAGAUCAACUAAUGAUUAAUAAAGCCGUAACUGAAGACAGCCACAGAAAGAAGAAAGGCCUCAGUAUGGCCUGGAUUGACUACAAAAAGGCGUUUGAUAGCAUCCCCCACACAUGGAUCCUCGAAACACUAGCCAUUAACAAAGUAGCACCAACAAUCAUAAAAUUCAUAGAGCACUCUAUGAAUAAAUGGCAAACAGUCCUACACCUCCAAACAAAAGAGGGACUCAUGAAAACCAAAGACAUCCCCAUUAGAAGAGGAAUAUUCCAGGGAGACACGCUCUCUCCACUCCUUUUCUGCUUGGCACUGUCACCUCUAUCUGAUAUGCUAAAUAGAACUGAAUGCGGAUAUAAAUGUUACGGCAAAACGAUCAGCCACCUUUUAUAUAUGGAUGACCUAAAACUAUACGCUGCAAAUGACAAACAGCUGGAAACACUAUUAAAGAGAGUUCAUGGAUUUACCAAAGAAAUAGAUAUGAAAUUUGGAUUAGAAAAAUGCGCCAAAGUAACCAUGAAAAGAGGAAAACUAGUUAAGAGUAACAACAUCACACUAAAUAAAACCAAUGAAAUAAAAGAAUUAGACCAAAGCCAAACUUACAAAUACUUAGGAAUCCAUGAACUAGAUAAGACACAACACACACAAAUGAAAGAGAAAAUAAAAAAAGAAUAUUAUAGACGAGUUAGAUCAAUACUAAAAACAGAGCUCAAUGCUAAAAACAAGAUAAUAGGUAUCAACACUUUAGCUGUCCCAGUUAUAAGUUACAGCUACAAUAUCCUUAACUGGACACGAAAUGAACUGUCCAAAAUAGAUAGGAAAACAAGAAAAAUACUGACAGGAUCUAGGAUGCAUCACCCAAAAUCUGACAUAGAAAGACUAUAUAUACAACGUAUAGCAGGUGGUAGAGGCCUUAUACAGCUGACAAACUACUAUAAAAUAACCACCAUAGGACUGCAAAAAUACCUACUUCAGAAGGAAGGAAAACUCAUCCAGAUAGCAGCAAAACACGAGCAAAACAAAAAACUGUUCUCAGUAUUUAAGGAAGCUGACAAAUACAAACAAGAAAUCAUACCACCUAAUAAACACAAAGAAGAAGAAGAAGAUGACGAAGAAACAACAAAAGCUAUAAAACAAAUGAAAUUCAAACU